CAGGGAUUGCCUUAGUAACGGCGAGUGAAGCGGCAAAAGCUCAAAUCUGAAAUCUGGCCACUUCGGUGUCCGAGUUGUAAUUUGAAGAAGGUAACUUUGGAGUUGGCUCUUGUCUAUGUUCCUUGGAACAGGACGUCACAGAGGGUGAGAACUCCGUGCGAUGAGAUGCCCAAUUCUAUGUAAAGUGCUUUCGAAGAGUCGAGUUGUUUGGGAAUGCAGCUCUAAGUGGGUGGUAAAUUCCAUCUAAAGCUAAAUAUUGGCGAGAGCCCGAUAGCGAACAAGUACAGUGAUGGAAAGAUGAAAAGAACUUUGAAAAGAGAGUGAAAAAGUACGUGAAAUUGUUGAAAGGGAAGGGCUUGAGAUCAGACUUGGUAUUUUGCGAUCCUUUCCUUCUUGGUUGGGUUCUCCGCAGCUUACUGGGCCAGCAUCGGUUUGGAUGGUAGGAUAAUGAUUAAGGAAUGUGGCUCUACUUCGGUGGAGUGUUAUAGCCUUGGUUGAUACUGCCUGUCUA
rnacentral:rRNA from 1 species